CUGUGCAUGAAUCAAAUCCG
rnacentral:piRNA from 1 species